AAUGAACGUUGGCGGCAUGGAUUAGGCAUGCAAGUCGUACGGUGGUAGCAAUACCAUAGUGGCGAAAGGGAUAGGAAUACAUAGAUUAUCUGCCCAAAGGACGUGGAUAGCGGCGGGAAACUGCCGGUAAUACACGAUAAUUUCUCCGGAACAAAGGUGUGAUUCCGCCUUUGGAUGAGUCUAUGUCCUAUUAGCUAGUUGGCGGUGUAAUGGACCACCAAGGCUAUGAUGGGUACGAGGCGUGAGAGCGUGUCCUCGAUCACUGGAACUGAGACACUGUCCAGACACCUACGGGUGGCUGCAGUCGAGAAUCUUCGGCAAUGGGCGAAAGCCUGACCGAGCGAUGCCGCGUGUGUGAUGAAGGUCUUCGGAUUGUAAAGCACUGUAAGUUGGGAGGAAAUGUAUGAGGGUUCUCCCUCAUAUUUGACCUAUCUUCAAAGUAAGGACGGGCUAAGUUCGUGCCAGCAGCCGCGGUAAGACGAACUGUCCAAACGUUAUUCGGAAUCACUGGGCUUAAAGGGUGCGUAGGCUGUCUGGUAAGUGGGGUGUGAAAUCCCUCAGCUCAACUGAGGAAUUGCGCUCCAAACUGUCAGACUCGAGGAAUGUAGGGGUAAGCGGAACUUGCGGUGGAGCGGUGAAAUGCUUUGAUAUUGCAAGGAACACCAAUGGCGUAGGCAGCUUACUGGGCAUUUUCUGACGCUGAGGCACGAAAGCCAGGGUAGCGAACGGAAUUAGAUACUCCGGUAGUCCUGGCUGUAAACGCUGAGCACUUGGUCGAAGGACACUCCAUAGUCUUUUGGCCGUAGAGAAAUUGGUAAAGUGCUCCCGCCUGGGGAGUAUGGUCGCAAGGCUGAAAACUCAAAGGAAAUUGACGGGGGCCCGCACAAGCGGUGGAGCAUGUGGUUUAAUUCGAUGCAACGCGAAGAACCUUACCUGGGCUUGACAUCCGGGGGACUCUCCCGAAAAGGAGAGGUGCUCUUCGGAGAACCCCGAGACAGGUGCUGCAUGGCUGUCGUCAGCUCGUGUCGUGAGAUGUUGGGUUAAGUCCCGCAACGAGCGCAACCCCUAUUCACAGUUGCCAGCAGGUAAAGCUGGGCACUCUGUGGAGACUGCCCGGGUCAACCGGGAGGAAGGUGGGGACGACGUCAAGUCAUCAUGGCCCUUACGCCCAGGGCUACACACGUACUACAAUGGCGCGCACAAAGGGCAGCAAGACCGCGAGGUGGAGCCAAUCCCAAAAAACGCGUCUCAGUCCGGAUUGCAGUCUGCAACUCGACUGCAUGAAGUCGGAAUCGCUAGUAAUUCUGGAUCAGCAUGCCAGGGUGAAUGCGUUCCCGGGCCUUGUACACACCGCCCGUCACACCACGAAAGUCGGUUUUACCCGAAGUCGGCGAGCUAACUGGCAACAGAGGCAGCCGCCUACGGUAGGGCCGAUGAUUGGG
rnacentral:rRNA from 1 species